GAAAAUUUAGUUAAUCUAUAACCUUAGAGUGUCAAUCUAAAGAAACUAGCCCCCCCCCUAGUAAUUUUCA
rnacentral:tRNA from 1 species